rnacentral:rRNA from 1 species
GUGUCAGCCGCCGCGGUAAUACAGAGGGUGCAAGCGUUGUUCGGAAUCAUUGGGCGUAAAGGGCGCGUAGGCGGUCUUGCAAGUCGGAUGUGAAAGCCCAGGGCUCAACCUUGGAAGUGCAUCCGAAACUGCAAGACUCGAGUCUCGGAGAGGGUGGUGGAAUUCCCAGUGUAGAGGUGAAAUUCGUAGAUAUUGGGAGGAACACCGGUGGCGAAGGCGACCGCCUGGACGAUGACUGACGCUGAGGCGCGAGAGCGUGGGGAGCAAACAGGAUUAGAUACCCCCGUAGUCC